rnacentral:tRNA from 1 species
GUAGAUGAAUAGGAAAAAGCAAGGCGGGGGCUGGAAAGAUGGCUCAGCUCUUCCAGAGGACCCAGGUUCGAUUCCUGGCAUCUACA